GAAAUCUGUCCAUGUGCACACAAAUUGCUCUCAUUCAUUCAUUUGAAUUGCCAUAUAGUAGUACCCUGGAGCUUAUUCUGAAGAAAGUCCAUUCUUUUCAUGGUGGUCAUUCAGAUUAUUUGUAAGUUUUUACUUUAUAAAUCAUGCUGCAGGGCUGGGGUUGUGGCUCAGAGGUAGAGCGCUUGCCUAGCAUGCGUGAGGCACUGAGUUUGAUCCUCAGCACCACAUAAAGUAAAAUGAAGACAUUGUGUCCACCUAUAACUAAAAAAAAAUAAUAAUUUUAAAAAAUAAAAAAAUCGUGCUGCAGUAAACAUUCCUCUACAAGUCUCUUCAUAGAUGUAAAAUAUUUAAGAGGAAACAAAAGUGAGAUUUCUAGGUUGUAUGUACGUACAUCUAUUUGGUAUUGCCAAUUGGUUCCUCAAAAUUAUUAUUCAAAUUUAUACUCCCAUUAGAAGUAUAAUUUAUUUUUCUAAUCUAUAUUAGAUUUAAUUUUUUUUUGCCUAUUUGAUGAAUGAGAGGUCUUACCAUUUUGGGUUUAAUUUUACUUUGCCUGGUUAAUGAGGUUGAACAUAUUUUCAUGCAUUUAUUGGUCAUUUGAGCCUCCUGUUCUGUUAAUUGUCUAAAUUUCUCAUUUUUCUGUUAAAAAUAUUUAUCUUUUUAAUUAUGAGAGUCCUUUAUAAGUUCUGGAUACUAAUUUUUUUAUUGUUUGUGUAUUUGAUUUAUACAUUCAUUCACUCAAAUAAUUUGUUGUGCUUCUAUUAUCUGCCAGGCACUGAUUUUGAUCCUGUAGACACAGCAAUUUACACAAAAUAAACAGACCAAAAAAAUCCCUUCCUGUUUAUACAUUCUUCAAUCUAAUUGAAGUGAAAGAGCCUACACAAAUAGAAAUACAAUAUGAGAAAUAAAUUAUAUGAAGGAAAAACAGGUUAAAGGCAGUUGUGAGUGGUAAAUAGGAAAGUUCCCUCUGAAGCGGUAACAUUUGUGCAGAGGCCUGAAUGUAGUGAGAGAAUUACCUUUACUGAGGCUGAAGGCUCCUGGACGGAAGGAAUAGCAAGUUUCAGGACAACAGUUAGGACCAUGUUCGACAUAUUUGAAGAACAGCAAGGUCAGUGUGGCUCUCAACUAGUGAUAGGAGGUGAAUUGGAGAGAAAGUUUGCAUAAGGCCAUGGUAAGGACUUGGGAAUUUUAAGUGCAAUGGGAAGUCCUUGGAGAUUUUUGGCAGAGUGAUGAGAUCUGUCAUACAUUUUAGAAGGAUCACUCAGACCGUCAGUGGAAAAUAUAUAGUGAGGCAAGCCUAGAAACAAAGCAAGAGAAGUAUAGGUAGUGCUUUGGAUUAGGAUAGUGGCAACUGAAGUCAUGAGAUGUGAUUCAGAAUAUAUUUUAUAGCAGAGAAAAGAUUUUCUGAUCAGAGAAGAGGGUGAGAGUGAAACAGAAAUCUAGAUCAACUACAAGGUUUUAGAUCUAAAUAGUUGAGUGAAUAUUGUCCCUGCAUAUAUUCAUUAUUUCACUGAUUCAAAGACACACAUGUGUUCUCUGAAAUUAGAAGGCAGUUUACAAAUGAU
rnacentral:lncRNA from 1 species